AUACUUACUUGGCAGGGGAGAUACCAUGAUCAUGAAGGUGGUUUACCCAGGGCUAGGUUUAUCCAUUGCAGUCAGGAUGUGCUGACCCCUGCAAUUUCCCCUAAAUGUGGGAAACUUGACUGUAUAAUUUGUGGUAGUGGGGGACUGCAUUCAUGCUCUCCCAUG
ensembl:snRNA U1 U1 spliceosomal RNA